AAUUACUGGGCGUAAAGGGCCAGUAGGCGGUUUGGUAAGUUGUGCGUGAAAGCCUCGUGCUCAACGCGAGGAAGCCGGACAAUACUGUCAAGCUAGAGGGCAUCAGAGGGGAGUGGAAUUCCCGGAGUAGCGGUAAAAUGCGCAGAUAUCGGGAGGAACACCGAUGGCGAAGGCAGCUCCCUGGGGUGUACCUGACGCUGAGGGGCGAAAGCUAGGGGAGCGAACAGGAUUAGAGACCCUGGUAGUCCUAGCUGUAAACGCUGGGUGCUAGGUGUGGGGCGUAGAAGCUCUGUGCCGCAGCAAACGCGAUAAGCAUCCCGCCUGGGAAUUACGGUCGCAAGGCUAAAACUCAAACGAAUUGACGGGGCCCCGCACAAGCAGCGGAGCGUGUGGUUCAAUUCGAUGCUACACGAAGAACCUUACCUGGGUUUGACAUGUACGUGGUAGAGAAGCGAAAGCGGAUUGACCCUUCGGGGAGCGUACACAGGUGCUGCAUGGCUGUCGUCAGCUCGUGCCGUGAGGUGUCGGGUUAAGUCCCGUAACGAGCGCAACCCUUGCCCUUAGUUACAAGUGUCUAGGGGGACUGCCGGCGGGAAGCCGGAGGAAGGUGGGGAUGACGUCAAGUCAGCAUGGCCCAUAUGUCCAGGGCUACACACACGCUACAAUGGUCGGUACAAAGGGUAGCGAAGCCGCGAGGCGGAGCGAAUCUCAUCAAAGCCGGUCGUAGUUCGGAUUGCAGGCUGCAACCCGCCUGCAUGAA
rnacentral:rRNA from 1 species